rnacentral:misc_RNA from 1 species
ACUCUGGUGUAUUAGCAUGCAGCUAUGCCCUCUCGGCUGGAUCGUCCGAUCCAACCGGAAAGCUUGCCUCAUUGGCAUCGACCUCACCGACCACCGCCUACCCGAAGCUGCCUGCUAUCAGAGCCCAGCAGGUUCGUGCUGCUGAUCCAAAGCAAGGGAGUGGGAGCGAGGGAAGAAGGGCAGCUCUACUUGGACUGGCUGCUGUCCUUUUCACUACAGCUUCUGCCACUUCCUCAGCCAAUGCUUCCGUCUUCGACG